CCCUCUGUGGGGGAUAGCCACUUGAAAAAGUGAUUAAUACCCCAUAGGAAGCUUUAUCCAUGAUUUAGCUUUUAAAGCCUUCGGGCGCUGAGGGAUUGGGAUAUGCUCUAUUAGCUAGUUGGCGGGAUAAAAGCCCACCAAGGCAAUGAUAGAUAGCUGGUCUUAGAGGAUGAACAGCCACAAUGGGAUUGAGAUACGGCCCAUAUUCCUACGGGAAGCAGCAGUAGGGAAUCUUCCACAAUGGACGAAAGUCUGAUGGAGCAAUACCAUGUGAACGAUGAAGGCCUUUUUGGUUGUAAAGUUCUUUUACGAGGGAUAAUUAUGAUAGUACUUCGUGAAUAAGUGACAGCAAACUAUGUGCCAGCAGCUGCGGUAAUACAUAGGUCGCAAGCAUUAUUCGGAUUUAUUGGGCGUAAAGCAAGCGCAGGCGGAUGUGUAAGUUCUGUGUUAAAUGCAGCUACUCAAUAGUUGUAUGCACCGAAUACUACAUGUCUAGAUUGUGGUAGGGAGUUUCGGAAUUAAGCAUGGAGCGGUGGAAUGUGUAGAUAUGCUUAAGAACACCAGAGGCGAAGGCGGAAACUUAGGCCAUAAAUGACGCUUAGGCUUGAAAGUGUGGGGAGCAAAUGGGAUUAGAUACCCCAGUAGUCCACACCGUAAACGAUGGGUAUUAGAUAUUAGGGCUUUAGCUUUAGUGUUGUAGCUUACGCGUUAAAUACCCCGCCUGGGUAGUACAUAUGCAAAUAUGAAACUCAAAGGAAUUGACGGGGACCUGAACAAGUGGUGGAGCAUGUUGCUUAAUUCGAUAAUACACGAAAAACCUUACCAAGGUUUGACAUCCCUCGCGAAGCUAUAGAAAUAUAGUAGAGGUUAUCGAGGUGACAGGUGGUGCAUGGCUGUCGUCAGCUCGUGUCUUGAGAUGUUUGGUUAAGUCCCGCAACGAGCGCAACCCCACUCUUUAGUUACUUGUCUAAAGAGACUGCACAGUAAUGUAGAGGAAGGAUGGGAUCACGUCAAGUCAUCAUGCCCCUUAUGCCUUGGGCUGCAAACGUGCUACAAUGGCGAACACAAUGUGUUGCAAACCAGCGAUGGUAAGCUAAUCACCAAAUUUCGUCUCAGUUCGGAUAGGAGGC
rnacentral:rRNA from 1 species